CCAACGGCCCUCUUUAGGGCCACAUCUUAUUUUCGAAUACGUGUGU
rfam:Ancylostoma duodenale strain Zhejiang A_duodenale-1.0_Cont1076.3, whole genome shotgun sequence.